CAUGACAGAGACGGGCCUGUGCCCACCCCCAGACCCUCUUCAACAGGCCCCUUCCUCCAGAAGAGCCCUUCACUGCCCACUGCCUCCAACCUGAGCUCUCACCUCCUCUUGUGCCCACUGGUCCCUGUCACACCUCACCCCUGCUCCACCAGCCCCUUUCAGGGUCCCUUUCCUCCCCCUGCACCUCCCUUCUCCGUCACCCACCUCUCCCCGUCCCCAUCCAAGGCGUCCUCGCUGCUCUCAGCCCCUCGCUGCCUCAUCCCACCUCCUCUGUCCUCAGUCACCUCAGUGCCCGAUGUGUCCCCACCACCUCGCCCCCAUCUUGUCCCUGCCACCUCAGUCCUGUCGCUCCACUGGCCUCUCUUAGCCCUGGUUAGGACAACCAGUCACCUCAGCCCCAUCUUGUCCCUGUCACCCACUAACCUCCUUCACAACCACUGUCCACAAACCAGUGCCCAUCUUGCCUAUCACCUCAGCCUCAUUUUGUCCCCAUCACGUCAGUGUCCCCUCUUUGUCUCUACUCUUCUCCCCACCAUCUCAAUCCAUUUGCCCCCACUCGCGUUAAACUCACAUCAUCCUCACUACCUCCUCCUCCAGCUUGUCCCCAUUGCCUCAUCCCCAUCUUGUCCCCACCACCCCAAUGCCCCCAACUUCUCCCUGUCACCCCAGCGCACCCCCUUCUCCCUGCCACCUCAGCCCUGUCACUCUUCGCACCAGUUGUCCUCAGUCAUCUGUGUCCCCCCUUUUGUCCACUCUCGCCCGCUUGCCUCAACCCUGCACCAUCCUCACUCCUCCCCUCAUCUUGUCCCCAUCACCCCAGUGCCCCCAUCUCGUCCCCAGCGCCCCCAUCUCGUCCUCCCCUCCCCCCGCUCCCGCCGAAGCGCUAAAGCGCGCGCCAACUCUCUGCCCCUCCCCCUCCCCCUUCCCAUUGGCCAACCCCCAUCAAAUCCCCGCCCUCCCUUUGACCGACAGGCCUCUCCGCCAACCAAUGGGCGCUGCCGCGCUGUGUACCCCUCCCUGCCCCCCCCCCCCCCCUCCGCGGGCGGGGUUGGGCCGUGA
rnacentral:lncRNA from 1 species